rnacentral:rRNA from 1 species
GGAGAGGGAGCCUGAGAAACGGCUACCACAUCUAAGGAAGGCAGCAGGCACGCAAAUUACCCAAUCCCGGUUCGGGGAGGUAGUGACGAUAAAUACCGAUGCGGGACUCAUCCGAGGCCUCGCAAUCGGAAUGAGCUCACCUUAAAAAAGUGGGCGAGGAUCGAUUGGAGGGCAAGUCUGGUGCCAGCAGCCGCGGUAAUUCCAGCUCCAAUAGCGUAUAUUAAAGUGUUGGCAAAGCAGGCCUAAAGCUCUUUACGCCUGAAUAGUAAUGCAUUGAAUGAUGGAACAGGACCUCGGUUCUGACUUAUUUUUUUCUCGGUUUUUCCCGAACCCGAGGUAAUGAUUAACGGGAACGGUCGGGGGCAUUAGUAUUGCGACGCGAGGGGUGAAAUCCAGUGACCGUCGCAAGACUACCUACUGCGAAAGCAUUUGCCAAGAACGCUUUCAUUAAUCAAGAACGAAAGUUAGAGGAUCGAAGGCGAUCAGAUACCGCCCUAGUUCUAACUAUAAACGAUGCCAACUAGCGAUCCGCGUACAGUCAUUCCCAAGACUGCGCGGGAAGCCCCCGGGAAACCUAAGUCUUUGGGUUCCGGGGGUAGUAUGGUUGCAAAGCUGAAACUUAAAGGAAUUGACGGAAGGGCACCACCAGGAGUGGAGCCUGCGGCUUAAUUUGACUCAACACGGGAAACCUCACCAGGCCCGGACACCGGAAGGAUUGACAGAUUGAGAGCUCUUUCUCGAUUCGGUGGUUGGUGGUGCAUGGCCGUUCUUAGUUGGUGGAGCGAUUUGUCUGGUUAAUUCCGAUAACGAACAAGACUCUGUCCUACUAACUAGUCGACGGAUCGUUUCCCGAGGAGGGUUUUCCCCCUACGGGCGAGCGGUUCGCUCGGCGGCUCGGCGGGCUUCGCCCCGGUUCGUCCCUGGCGGUGUCGUCGCGGCGGUCUCUUCGCCCCUUCUCCUUAUCCUCUUCCUCCCUUCGGGGCGGAGGGGGUGAGGGUUGGGGGUUUUCUCUCGCUUCUCCGACGCCCCGCUACACGGGUCGGGACGGGCCCAUUCGCCCGAGUCGUCCGCGGCUUAGCCGUUCGCUCAAGGGGUCCCAACGAGGGGCGUCCGUCGUAUAAAAUCUUCUUAGAGGGACCGGCGGUCUCGAACCGUACGAGAAAGAGCAAUAACAGGUCUGUGAUGCCCUUAGAUGUCCUGGGCCGCACGCGUGCUACAAUGGAGGGAGCAGCGUGCUUUCCCCCUCCGAGAGGAGUGGGUAACCCCUUGAAACCCCUUCCCGAUUGGGAUUGGGGGUUGCAAUGGUUGCCCAUAAACGAGGAAUCCCUUGUAAGCGCGAGUCAUAAGCUCGCGAUGAAUACGUCCCUGCCCUUUGUACACACCGCCCGUCGCUACUACCGAUGAACGAUUAAGUGAGAGCGUCGGACCGGCGCCCUCGGCAGCCCUCGGCUCGAAAACC